rnacentral:rRNA from 1 species
GAUGAACGCUGGCGGCGUGCUUAAUACAUGCAAGUCGAGCGAACAGACGAGGAGUUUGCUCCUCUCACGUUAGCGGCGGACGGGUGUGUAACACGUGGAUAACCUACCUAUAUGACUGGGAUAACUUCGGGAAUCCGGCGCUAAUACCGGAUAAUAUAUUGAUCCGUAUGGUUCAAUAGUGAAAGACGGUUUUGCUGUCACUUAUAGAUGGAUCCGCGCGGCAUUAGCUAGUUGGUAAGGUAACGGCUUACCAAGGCAACGAUGCGUAGCCGACCUGAGAGGGUGGUCGGCCACACUGGAGCUGGGACACGGUCCAUACUCCUACGGGAGGCAGCAGUAGGGAAUCUGACGCAAUGGGCGAAAGCCUGACGGAGCAACGCCGCGUGAGUGAUGAAGGUCUUCGGAGCGUAAAACUCUGUUAUUAGGGAAGAACAAAUGUGUAAGUAACUAUGCACGUCUUGACGGUACCUGGUCAGAAAGCCCCGGCUAACUACGUG